GCUAAAAAUCUAGUCCUUCAAUCCCAGAAUUACUUUUUUUUCCCUUUUUUAACCAAUAAAACAUUUUUUCUGUCUAGUAAAGGCGAUCAAAAAACAUGUAGGAACAACAUAAAUAGUACCCCAAGGGAAAAAUGAAAUAGAAGUGAAAUAAACAUUAAGCCAAACAAAGCAGAGCCCCACCUCGUACCUUUUGCAUCAUGGUUUAGCCAGUCUAACCAAGCAAAAAGAAUUUUAGUUUGACCCCCCGAAACCUGGUGAGCUACUUCAAAACAGCCUAUCAGGGCCAACCCGUCUCUGUUGCAAAAGAGUGGGAAGAUUUUCAAGUAGAGGUGAUAGACCUACCGAACCCGGAGAUAGCUGGUUAUUUAAGAAAAGGAUUUAAGUCCUACCUCAAGCUUCUCUGGUACUUAUAAACCCCAACUAAGCUUAAGAGCUAUUCAAAUAGGGUGCAGCCUAUUUGAAACAGGAAACAACCUCCGACACAGGGUAAUAUAUUUGAUCUGUGCUUAAGUGGGCCUAAAAGCAGCCAACUUUCAAAAAGCGUCAAAGCUUUAUCACAAAAUCACCCGAAUUCCCGAAACCCUAUAAAACCCGCACCCAGUACUAAAUAACUCUAUACCCCUAUAGAAAUAAUUAUGCUAAAACUAGUAACAAGAAGAAGACCUUCUCCUAAAUGUAAGCGUAAGCCAAAAAGAACAGCUCAUUGGCAUUUAACGUAAAUGACUUCAGAGCAGCAACUUCCCCAAGAAAAACCACCUCAAACUAACGUUAACCUUACACAAGAACAUUUCAGGAAAGAUUAAAAGAAGGAGAAGGAACUCGGCAAACUUUAACCCCGCCUGUUUACCAAAAACACCGCCUCCUGCAAGUAAAUAGGAGGUCCAGCCUGCCCAGUGACCAAGUUAAACGGCCGCGGUACCCUAACCGUGCGAAGGUAGCGCAAUCACUUGUUCUUUAAAUGAGGACUAGUAUGAAUGGCAUCACGAGGGUUAUACUGUCUCCCCCCUCUAAUCAGUGAAACUGAUCCCCCCGUGAAGAAGCGGGGAUAAGAAUAUAAGACGAGAAGACCCCAUGGAGCUUAAAACCCUACACCACCUACCCACCCCACAUCACCCAAAACAGGUAGACAUGGUGCCCAGUUUUCGGUUGGGGUGACCGCGGAGUAAAGCCAAACCUCCACGAUGAUAUUUAUCUAAGAGCCACAACUCAAAGAAUCAACUAAUUGACAUACUUUGACCCAAAGAAAUUUGAUCAACGAACCAAGUUACCCUGGGGAUAACAGCGCAAUCCAUUUCAAGAGCCCCUAUCGACAAAUGGGUUUACGACCUCGAUGUUGGAUCAGGGUAUCCCAGUGGUGCAGCCGCUACUAAAGGUUUGUUUGUUCAACAAUUAAAACCCU
rnacentral:rRNA from 1 species